GCUUGUUGGCAAAACUGCAAGUAAGGCCUACUUGGACUGAGCAGGUUAGGGAAAAACAGUUGAAGGACGAUUCAUUAGCUCUUCGGUUCCAGUAAGUUAAGAAUGGUGAGAACGAGGAUUUUGGGUUGAACACUGAGGGAGUUCUGUGCUUUCAUGGAAGGGUUUGUAUUCCGAAGGACCCUGAAUUGAGGCAGUUAAUUCUGAAAGAGGCUCAUGGUGGACUCUGUGCCAUGCAUCCUGAAGGGAAUAAAUUAUAUCGAGACUUGCGAGAGAUGUACUGGUGGCCC
rnacentral:lncRNA from 1 species